rnacentral:rRNA from 1 species
AGAGUUUGAUCCUGGCUCAGGAUGAACGCUGGCGGCGUGCUUAACACAUGCAAGUCGAACGAUGAUCCCAGCUUGCUGGGGGAUUAGUGGCGAACGGGUGAGUAACACGUGAGUAACCUGCCCUUGACUCUGGNGAUAAGCCUGGGAAACUGGGUCUAAUACCGGAUAUGACUCCUCAUCGCAUGGUGGGGGGUGGAAAGCUUUUGUGGUUUUGGAUGGACUCGCGGCCUAUCAGCUUGUUGGUGGGGUAAUGGCCUACCAAGGCGACGACGGGUAGCCGGCCUGAGAGGGUGACCGGCCACACUGGGACUGAGACACGGCCCAGACUCCUACGGGAGGCAGCAGUGGGGAAUAUUGCACAAUGGGCGCAAGCCUGAUGCAGCGACGCCGCGUGAGGGAUGACGGCCUUCGGGUUGUAAACCUCUUUCAGUAGGGAAGAAGCGAAAGUGACGGUACCUGCAGAAGAAGCGCCGGCUAACUACGUGCCAGCAGCCGCGGUAAUACGUAGGGCGCAAGCGUUAUCCGGAAUUAUUGGGCGUAAAGAGCUCGUAGGCGGUUUGUCGCGUCUGCUGUGAAAGACCGGGGCUCAACUCCGGUUCUGCAGUGGGUACGGGCAGACUAGAGUGCNGUAGGGGAGACUGGAAUUCCUGGUGUAGCGGUGAAAUGCGCAGAUAUCAGGAGGACCACCGAUGGC